AAGAGGAGGUUCGAUAAUUAUGGAAAGCAAGGUUUGCUGUGCGGAUCUGAUGGAUUACCGCACCUGAUUGUGAACGGAGACCAGAGACACUGGGGCGAGUUCAUAACUCCUGGUAUUUUGUUCCUGUACAUUGCGGGUUGGAUCGGGUGGGUGGGUCGGAGCUACCUGAUUGCGAUUAGCGAUGACAAGAAGCCAGCGAUGAAGGAGAUCAUCAUUGAUGUGCCUUUGGCUUCGAGGUUGCUCUUCAGGGGAUUUAGCUGGCCUGUUGCGGCAUACAGAGAGUUCGUCA
rnacentral:lncRNA from 1 species